AGUGAACGCUGGCGGUAGGCCUAACACAUGCAAGUCGAACGGCAGCACAGUAAGAGCUUGCUCUUACGGGUGGCGAGUGGCGGACGGGUGAGGAAUACAUCGGAAUCUACUUUUUCGUGGGGGAUAACGUAGGGAAACUUACGCUAAUACCGCAUACGACCUACGGGUGAAAGCAGGGGAUCUUCGGACCUUGCGCGAUUGAAUGAGCCGAUGUCGGAUUAGCUAGUUGGCGGGGUAAAGGCCCACCAAGGCGACGAUCCGUAGCUGGUCUGAGAGGAUGAUCGGCCGCACUGGAACUGAGACGCGGUCCAGACUCCUACGGGAGGCAGCAGUGGGGAAUAUUGGACAAUGGGCGCAAGCCUGAUCCAGCCAUACCGCGUGGGUGAAGAAGGCCUUCGGGUUGUAAAGCCCUUUUGUUGGGAAAGAAAAGCAGCAGGUUAAUACCCCGCUGUUCUGACGGUACCCAAAGAAUAAGCACCGGCUAACUUCGUG
rnacentral:rRNA from 1 species